GGAGAUUGUUAAGGUAGAUCAGCUUUGACAAUGCUCUCAUCAACGGUUCAUUAUCCUGCGUAUGACCAGCUGUAUCAACGAGCACCACAUCCGAACCAUUACGAGAAGCUUCCUGAAUGGCUCCUUUUUUUUUGUUUUGCAACAGCUUAUAGCGAAAAUGCAACAUGUACAAAGGUUUGAAGAUUUAAAAUCAGAACCACAGAGAUUAUCAUAUAAGCGGGGUAACAGCUGACCAGGUCGAGAAUACACGGUCCACUUCUUCGAGCCAAAAAAUUUGGCAGACAAAUACACAGUAAUCAUCAAAGUGACGGGCCAAACCUUGAGAGUUAGGUGGUGUUAAGUACAAAUUGGCAUCUACUGAAGGUUGGCCAAACAUAAGUGCUAAUGUAUCAACAAUAGCAGCAAUACCCGGAUACCGAAAUUCCAGACCACGCAGAGCAACUGUAUAACCCUCUUUAUAAGCUUGCUCAUACUUUAAGACAUCUUCAGUAGUUAAAUACAGAGGUUCCUUAAGGCAGUCCGGAUGAAAGUCCUGAAGGCACCGCACAUAUCUCUUUGUGUAUCCUAAAUCAUUAACCAAUGGAACUUCCAAGGCUUUUGCCAACUGACGGGCUGAUGCAACAAACAAAUUGCAAUUAUUUUGCAACUCUGGAAUGGAUAGAUUGGGUGCUGCAUUUUGUGUACAUGCCUGAUAUUUUUGAGCAACUGCUUCAAGCUGACUAACCUGAGGAAUUAACAAUCUUCUGGGGAUGAGCUCUUCAUGAUGCCGAGCACAAAAUUUCCAAGAACAUAUCUUCAGGUGAUACCGUAACUGCAAGCACUUCAUCCUGGGUAACGGCGGCUGAAAAGUGGUUGAGCUUGUUACUGGUUCUUCCAGAAUUCUGGACUGUUGAAGAUUGGUUCAAGGAGUGAGCUUGGUGUGAAAUUCCAACCGGAACGGAAAGAUUGCGGCAUUGUUGGAGGUG